rnacentral:rRNA from 1 species
UACGUAGGGGGCAAGCGUUGUCCGGAAUCAUUGGGCGUAAAGCGCGUGUAGGCGGCCAGGUAAGUCCGUUCUGAAAGCCCGGGGCUCAACCCCGGGAGGCGGAUGGAUACUGCUUGGCUCGAGUCCGGAAGAGGCGAGUGGAAUUCCCGGUGUAGCGGUGAAAUGCGCAGAUAUCGGGAGGAACACCAAUGGCGAAGGCAGCUCGCUGGGACGGUACUGACGCUGAGACGCGAAAGCGUGGGGUGCAAACAGG